UGGCUCAUGGCCUAGUGGUAAGGCACUAUAUUUUUGGAGAAGUGGGAGGGGUUCAAAUCCACUUGAACCCA
rnacentral:tRNA from 1 species